rnacentral:ncRNA from 2 species
UACAGAGUAGGUAUACCGCGUUAAGUAUCCGCAGAUGGGACGUCGCUGCGGAGCGAAAUGAUUUUUCAUGCGGUGGUUUACCGCUUCCGCUGUA